rnacentral:rRNA from 1 species
AAAUUGAAGAGUUUGAUCAUGGCUCAGAUUGAACGCUGGCGGCAGGCCUAACACAUGCAAGUCGAACGGUAACAGGAAGCAGCUUGCUGCUUUGCUGACGAGUGGCGGACGGGUGAGUAAUGUCUGGGAAACUGCCUGAUGGAGGGGGAUAACUACUGGAAACGGUGGCUAAUACCGCAUAACGUCGCAAGACCAAAGAGGGGGACCUUCGGGCCUCUUGCCAUCAGAUGUGCCCAGAUGGGAUUAGCUUGUUGGUGAGGUAACGGCUCACCAAGGCGACGAUCCCUAGCUGGUCUGAGAGGAUGACCAGCCACACUGGAACUGAGACACGGUCCAGACUCCUACGGGAGGCAGCAGUGGGGAAUAUUGCACAAUGGGCGCAAGCCUGAUGCAGCCAUGCCGCGUGUAUGAAGAAGGCCUUCGGGUUGUAAAGUACUUUCAGCGGGGAGGAAGGUGUUGUGGUUAAUAACCGCAGC